rnacentral:rRNA from 1 species
CUUGCUUUUGAAAGGUCAGCGGCGGACGGGUGAGUAACACGUGGGCAACCUGCCUGUAAGACUGGGAUAACUUCGGGAAACCGGAGCUAAUACCGGAUAAUAUAAGGAACCUCCUGGUUCUUUAUUGAAAGAUGGUUUCGGCUAUCACUUGCAGAUGGGCCCGCGGCGCAUUAGCUAGUUGGUGAGGUAACGGCUCACCAAGGCAACGAUGCGUAGCCGACCUGAGAGGGUGAUCGGCCACACUGGGACUGAGACACGGCCCAGACUCCUACGGGAGGCAGCAGUAGGGAAUCUUCCACAAUGGACGAAAGUCUGAUGGAGCAACGCCGCGUGAGCGAUGAAGGCCUUCGGGUCGUAAAGCUCUGUUGUUAGGGAAGAACAAGUGCGAGAGUAACUGCUCGCACCUUGACGGUACCUAACCAGAAAGCCACGGCUAACUACGUGCCAGCAGCCGCGGUAAUACGUAGGUGGCAAGCGUUGUCCGGAAUUAUUGGGCGUAAAGCGCGCGCAGGUGGUCCUUUAAGUCUGAUGUGAAAGCCCACGGCUCAACCGUGGAGGGUCAUUGGAAACUGGGGGACUUGAGUGCAGAAGAGGAAAGUGGAAUUCCAAGUGUAGCGGUGAAAUGCGUAGAGAUUUGGAGGAACACCAGUGGCGAAGGCGACUUUCUGGUCUGUAACUGACACUGAGGCGCGAAAGCGUGGGGAGCAAACAGGAUUAGAUACCCUGGUAGUCCACGCCGUAAACGAUGAGUGCUAAGUGUUAGAG